GAGAGAGGCUUGGAGCAAUAGAGACUGCUAAUCUCUACCUCCGGAGUUAAAAUCUCCGGCUCCCUCG
rnacentral:tRNA from 1 species